rnacentral:rRNA from 1 species
UACGGUGGAUCCGAGCGUUAUCCGGAUUUAUUGGGUUUAAAGGGAGCGUAGGUGGAUUGUUAAGUCAGUUGUGAAAGUUUGCGGCUCAACCGUAAAAUUGCAGUUGAAACUGGCAGUCUUGAGUACAGUAGAGGUGGGCGGAAUUCGUGGUGUAGCGGUGAAAUGCUUAGAUAUCACGAAGAACUCCGAUUGCGAAGGCAGCUCACUGGACUGCAACUGACACUGAGGCUCGAAAGUGUGGGUAUCGAACAGG